rnacentral:rRNA from 1 species
GGGCGAGUUUCGCUCCAUUCCACACACGCAUUGUACUCAGCGGGCGCGAAUUCGCCCUUAGAGUUUGAUCCUGGCUCAGGAUGAACGCUAGCGGCAGGCUUAACACAUGCAAGUCGAGGGGCAGCAUAAUGGAUAGCAAUAUCUAUGGUGGCGACCGGCGCACGGGUGCGUAACGCGUAUGCAACCUACCUUUAACAGGGGGAUAACACUGAGAAAUUGGUACGGGGACCCCAUAAUAUCAUAGAAGGCAUCUUUUAUGGUUGAAAAUUCCGAUGGUUAGAGAUGGGCAUGCGUUGUAUUAGCUAGUUGGUGGGGUAACGGCUCACCAAGGCGACGAUACAUAGGGGGACUGAGAGGUUAACCCCCCACACUGGUACUGAGACACGGACCAGACUCCUACGGGAGGCAGCAGUGAGGAAUAUUGGUCAAUGGACGCAAGUCUGAACCAGCCAUGCCGCGUGCAGGAUGACGGCUCUAUGAGUUGUAAACUGCUUUUGUACGAGGGUAAACGCAGAUACGUGUAUCUGUCUGAAAGUAUCGUACGAAUAAGGAUCGGCUAACUCCGUGCCAGCAGCCGCGGUAAUACGGAGGAUUCAAGCGUUAUCCGGAUUUAUUGGGUUUAAAGGGUGCGUAGGCGGUUUGAUAAGUUAGAGGUGAAAUUUCGGGGCUCAACCCUGAACGUGCCUCUAAUACUGUUGAGCUAGAGAGUAGUUGCGGUAGGCGGAAUGUAUGGUGUAGCGGUGAAAUGCUUAGAGAUCAUACAGAACACCGAUUGCGAAGGCAGCUUACCAAACUAUAUCUGACGUUGAGGCACGAAAGCGUGGGGAGCAAACAGGAUUAGAUACCCUGGUAGUCCACGCAGUAAACGAUGAUAACUCGUUGUCGGCGAUACACAGUCGGUGACUAAGCGAAAGCGAUAAGUUAUCCACCUGGGGAGUACGUUCGCAAGAAUGAAACUCAAAGGAAUUGACGGGGGCCCGCACAAGCGGAGGAACAUGUGGUUUAAUUCGAUGAUACGCGAGGAACCUUACCCGGGCUUGAAAGUUAGCGACGAUUCUUGAAAGAGGAUUUCCCUUCGGGGCGCGAAACUAGGUGCUGCAUGGUUGUCGUCAGCUCGUGCCGUGAGGUGUCGGGUUAAGUCCCAUAACGAGCGCAACCCCUACCGUUAGUUGCCAUCAGGUGAAGCUGGGCACUCUGGCGGGACUGCCGGUGUAAGCCGAGAGGAAGGUGGGGAUGACGUCAAAUCAGCACGGCCCUUACGUCCGGGGCUACACACGUGUUACAAUGGUAGGUACAGAGGGCAGCUACCCAGCGAUGGGAUGCGAAUCUCGAAAGCCUAUCUCAGUUCGGAUUGGAGGCUGAAACCCGCCUCCAUGAAGUUGGAUUCGCUAGUAAUCGCGCAUCAGCCAUGGCGCGGUGAAUACGUUCCCGGGCCUUGUACACACCGCCCGUCAAGCCAUGGGAGCCGGGGGUGCCUGAAGUUCGUGACCGCAAGGAGCGACCUAGGGCAAAACUGGUGACUGGGGCUAAGUCGUAACAAGGUAGCCGUAAGGGCGAAUUCGUUCUUCAAGGAGGACUAG